rnacentral:lncRNA from 1 species
UAAUAUUACCAACAAUAAUAGGAACUACGCACUAUACUGUGACUUACAAAUGAACAUGGAUAACUUGUGAAAGAUCAAAAUACCUUGUACCCAUGGAUGCAAUCUAAACACAGGUCUGGUGGCAAAACAUCACCCCCCCUGUCUAGCAAAUUCAUCUUUAUCUGCAUUUGGUGUUACAGGAGGAAGCUUGGAUAUUGAUGGCUUAGGAGUGCAGGUCGACUGGUAUUUCUCAACAAUUUGGUCAACAUCAAUGUUCUUAAAGGCAACCAGAAGCAGGACGGAAACAAAGAGAGAGAAAUCAGCAUCUACAUGGAUCUAAGCAGUUUGGAUAAACUUGACUAGGUAACGGUUUAUUUUUAAGAAAAAGCAACAAAGCAGCCACACCAACUACNGACAAAAGAACAUAAUUAGAGAUUGAAUAAAAUGGCUAAACAUCCUCUUCAGUUUCCACUUCACAAAAGAAUUGUGCAAACUACUACCUUCAAGUUGGAAUAACCAACAUACAUUCANCGGCAAACUAGUAGUAAAAGACUGAAAGUUAAACUAACUGAUACAAAAUUAUGUAUGACUGCAACUAAUAACUAUGGUAAGCCCUUUGAUUUUAUAUCAGUUCAUUCAAAAGCAAUAAAAUCAAGCAAGUGGCAACAAAUUGUUGGCAAUUCUAACUUGCAAGCCUAGUGAGACCCAAAUGAAUUUGACUCAUUUAAAUUAAUCAAUGCGUACUAAAUUACCUCAAGUAUGUUAUCAUCAUCAAUAUCUCCAGACAUGCAGUUAGAAGACUCGUUGAUUUGGCCUGUGCACUUAUUAUGAUUGUUCAAUGAACCAUCCAAACCCCAAGAAGUAUUUCUGCUAACAACUGGAAUGUCAGUGACAUCAGGACACAUACGGUUGUCAUUCUGAUAGCCUCCAUGGAUUGAUGCUGUUCUCGUAUUCUCAUGACUCUGCCAAUUAACAUUGACAUUUUUUCCAGGUUGUACAUAGUUCCUACUAGAAUUUUGUAGACUUGAAAGAGCAUCCCAAGCCUGUNNNNN